rnacentral:lncRNA from 1 species
UCUCGCCCGAUUCAUGACGUUCUGGGCACAUCUUCUUUGUACAGUUAGCAGUCAAAUUAGUAGGUAACAAAUUGAAUUUAAGAAUAAAUAAUUGAAUCAUUAAACUCUAAGAGAAAGAGAAGUUUGGAUGUGUAACCUGAUAUACCGGAUCCUCAUAAUGCCGGCAUAUGAGAGUCCAAUCAUCCAUAGUGAUGCUUCAUAGGACUGCUGCCGCGCUGUCUCCACCUCAUGAUCUUGCAUCACCUGGUACCAAUGCUGA